CAAUAGCGUAUAUUAAAGUUGUUGCAGUUAAAAAGCUCGUAGUUGGUUUUCUGGUAGGAGUGACCGUUCCGAACUUGAUUGUUCGUGUAUUGUGUUUUCUCCAGCCAUCCUUGUGGAGAACUUUUCUUGCAUUAAUUUGUAGGGAUUGGGACCCGCAUCGUUUACUGUGAAAAAAUUAGAGUGUUUAAAGCAGGCAAUCGCUUGAAUACAUUAGCAUGGAAUAAUAAGAUAGGACUUUGGUACUAUUUUGUUGGUUUGCAUACCAAAUUAAUGAUCAACAGGAACAGUUUGAGGAUAUUCGUAUGAACAUGUCAGAGGUGAAAUUCUUGGAUUUUGAUCAGACGAACUACUGCGAAAGCAUUUAUCAAGGAUGUUUUCAUUAA
rnacentral:rRNA from 1 species